rnacentral:rRNA from 1 species
GUCUGACGGAGCAACGCCGCGUGAACGAUGAAGGCCUUCGGGUCGUAAAGUUCUGUUGUUAGGGAAGAACAAGUACCAGAGUAACUGCUGGUACCUUGACGGUACCUAACCAGAAAGCCACGGCUAACUACGUGCCAGCAGCCGCGGUAAUACGUAGGUGGCAAGCGUUGUCCGGAAUUAUUGGGCGUAAAGCGCGCGCAGGCGGUUUCUUAAGUCUGAUGUGAAAGCCCACGGCUCAACCGUGGAGGGUCAUUGGAAACUGGGGAACUUGAGUGCAGAAGAGGAGAGUGGAAUUCCACGUGUAGCGGUGAAAUGCGUAGAGAUGUGGAGGAACACCAGUGGCGAAGGCGACUCUCUGGUCUGUAACUGACGCUGAGGCGCGAAAGCGUGGGGAGCGAACAGGAUUAGAUACCCUGGUAGUCCACGCCGUAAACGAUGAGUGCUAAGUGUUAGAGGGUUUCCGCCCUUUAGUGCUGCAGCAAACGCAUUAAGCACUCCGCCUGGG